ensembl:processed_transcript BC006965 cDNA sequence BC006965
AUUCAAUGUCUGGAGCACGCGUCGGCCACUCCACCUCGGGCGCUCUGAAGCCGGCCGCAUGGAGACUGGGGGACGGUGGUAGGAUGGUCCUAGACCCCUUCCCUCUGUUUCUGCAACCUUGGUGAAUUGAAAAGGGAUCAAUAUCCUUUAUCAGCUCUACCAUACCAGAUGGCCAAGGGACAGUGGAAAAAUGGCAGGGCAGACCCCCUUGGAUUUGCCCACGUGGAGUUUGGAUAUUUACCUGGCUUCUUUGUCAAGUCUUGGGCCUGAUGCAGGUUGCAGACGUAUGGCCACCGGUUCAUGUAGUCAACAGGUCAGGGGGGCUGUUGCCACCGAAGGAAGGGGGAUAGUGCUGACAAGACUGAUGGUAAUGAUGACAUCUAACGUACAUGGAGCAGCUCUAUCUGCCAGACACUAAGAGGAGAAUGAAGAGAUGGAGGCAGGAUGUGUCAAUGUCCAAUGGACCACCUCACCAUCUGGGGAAGAGGGAUGCAUCUAGUGAGAUGAGAAGCGGAAGAGCAAAAUCCCAAGUCCAAAGGACAUUCUGGAGGAAGUGAUUCUACUGGAGAGGCUCCACGUGGCGCAUCCCUUACAAAGAGAAUUGUGUUGCUGCAGAUGGCGAGCUGGCUCAGUGGGGGAAGGUGCUAGCCAUCAAGUCCCAUGACCUUAGUUUGAUUCC